ACAAGCGGUGGAGCAUGUGGUUUAAUUCGAUGCAACGCGAAGAACCUUACCUGGUCUUGACAUCCUGCGAACUUUCUAGAGAUAGAUUGGUGCCUUCGGGAACGCAGUGACAGGUGCUGCAUGGCUGUCGUCAGCUCGUGUUGUGAAAUGUUGGGUUAAGUCCCGUAACGAGCGCAACCCUUAUCCUUAUUUGCCAGCACUUCGGGUGGGAACUCUAAGGAGACUGCCGGUGACAAACCGGAGGAAGGUGGGGACGACGUCAAGUCAUCAUGGCCCUUACGACCAGGGCUACACACGUGCUACAAUGGUAAAUACAAAGGGACGCCAAGCCGCGAGGUGGAGCUAAUCCCAGAAAAUUUAUCGUAGUCCGGAUUGGAGUCUGCAACUCGACUCCAUGAAGUCGGAAUCGCUAGUAAUCGUGGAUCAGAAUGCCACGGUGAAUACGUUCCCGGGCCUUGUACACACCGCCCGUCACACCAUGGGAGUGGAUUGCACCAGAAGUAGUUAGUCUAACCUUCGGGGGGACGAUUACCACGGUGUGGUUCAUGACUGGGGUGAAGUCGUAACAAGGUAGCCCUAGGGGAACCUGGGGCUGGAUCACCUCCUUAAACGAA
rnacentral:rRNA from 1 species